AGCGAUGAUGAGAGGGAACUGUGACGGUAGGAGGAGCCUGAGGCUCGGAGGAGAUGAGUGGCAUAGAAUUAUUAUUAUUAUUAUUAUUAUUAUUAUUAGCAUCACCCCUCAGUGGUGCAUGUGGCUUGGCUCCCUGGCUUGACUUGUCCACAGCUGUUGAUAGCUUGGCAGGUCCUCAGCUGUGGUCCCCAGAUGAUAUUUUCUGUUGUGAAUAUCUGGCUGGUUUCCAGGUUGAACCAUAUGGCCUUUCCACACCUCUAUUCUCUUAUCUCUAAGGCUGCGUACACAUCACACCUUGAAGUCACGGGAUCAUUCCAUUAAAUGUCAACCUACAGACUCAUUGUUCCUAAACAUGUUCUAGAUCAUUUUCAAGAGAAUUUCCCAAAGUUUCAAGAUCCUGCCACUGUGUGGGGUGGGUUUUAAUAGGUAGGAGAGUAUACGUUAGUUGAAAUUUAUCCCUCUAGAUAUCCACAUAUGUGAGCUGCACAGAGUUUUAAAAAACCCUUCUUGACAGCAAAACUAAAAGUUUGGGAAUUAACCUGUGAAACCUUGUUUUGAGCAAUCCCAGCUAUGAAGUAAGCUUGAGGUCCAGGGUGGAUCCUGAGUCCUCUUGCAAGACAUCAGGCAGGGUCUCUGAGUUUAGAUUUCGGAUCCCCAGACAUUUCAUAUCUGUACCCUCUUCCUCUCUUUUUCCAGUAGGGUAAUUAAGGUGAUUCUAUUAGAAUUCCCAAGUAAAUGUCAAGCAGGGAGGGAAGGGGAAAGAGAGAGAGAGAAAUUCUGGUGGAGAUGGAGGGUUGGAGGAGGCUUGUGUUCUAAGAAAAAAAAAUGCUCCUUUUCCUUUAUGGGGUACCUAAGAGCCCGUAUAGAGUCCUUAUGUAGGUUCCCUAUCUGUAGGAGAAAAUAACAGAGGCCAACCAGAAAAUAUUGAGAAGCAAAGCAGCUAGUAAGACUGAUCUUUAUUGAACUGUUGCAACAGGGUCCUCACUCACCACACGCAGGAGGGAGGAGCAGUGGCGUAGCGUGGGGGUGCAGGGGGGGCGGCCACACCGGGCGCAACAUCUGGGGGUUAGGGUUAGGGGGCGCAAAUCCACAGGUUAGGGGGCGCAAAUUACUUGCCUUGCCCCGGGUGCUGACAACCCACGCUACGCCACUGGGGAGGAGGAACCCAGAACAAUGGUGCACAAGCCCUUAUAUAGACUUUUGAAAUUGCCACCCUGUAGCCCAAGACCACCCCCCCACACACACAAUACAUCAUACAUACAUCACAGAAGGGGCAGUCUACAACAGAAUCCUGUCUGGCAGGAAACCUGUUAAUGGGUUUACCUGGCUGUUAAUGGGUUUACAUGGAGAGCCUGGCCAUUCUUUUGUGAUGAUAAAUACUUAAUUCCUGAGUCCAGGUCACAGGCUCACCCUAUUCAUACCCAAAUGUGCCCUUAAGGCAGCAUUUGUGAGCACAGAGACAAUGGGGAGGCUUUUCCCAUUUCCAUCCAAACUGCAGAGGAAUAUCUGAGGUCAAUGAAAGAGUCAAAAUGGCUUUAGGACUGUUUUCCUGUACUGUUUCAGACAUGUGGUUUAUAUAUUUAUGUAUGUGUUUGGGCGCUGGUGGCGCUGUGGUCUAAACCACAGAGCCUAGGGCUUGCUGAUCAGAAGGUCAGCGGUUCGAAUCCCCGCGACGGGGUGAGCUCCUGUUGCUCAGUCGCUGCUCCUGCCAACCUAGCAGUUCGAAAGCACGUCAAGUGCAAGUAGAUAAAUAGGUACUGCUUCGGCGGGAAGGUAAACGGCAUUUCUGUGUGCUGCUCUGGUUCCCCAGAAGCGGCUUAGUCGUGCUGGCCACAUGACCCGGAAAAACUGUCUGCGGACAAACGCCAGCUCCCUCGGCCAGUAAAGCAAGAUGAGCGCCGCAACCCCAGACCUCGUUAGCGACUGGACUUAACUGUCAGCGGUCCUUUACCUUUACCUUUACAUAUGUGUUUGUCUGGUACAUUUAUGAACGUUUAUUUUAGAUCUUAGACCUUAUAAUUCUCAUAACACUUGGAAAGGGAGUUUAAAUGUUGGGGGGGGGAGGCAGGUGAGAGUCAGUUGAGAGAGGUAGGUUAUAGAAGGGGUGCACUUGGUGAGGGACCUGAAGCUGGGCUGGACAGCUCUUCAGGAUCAGUAGUCCAGCAGUAGGAUCAAGCAGUAGGAUCAAGCCCAUCAGUGACCAUGAGAAGGAACUCUGAAGGUAGGAGGAGAUCGGAGGCACAGAGGAGAUGAGUGGCAUAGAAUUAUUAUUAUUAUUAUUAUUAUUAUUAUUAGCAUCACCCGUCAGUAGUGCAUGUGGCUUGGCUCCCUGGCUUGACUUGUCCACAGCUGUUGAUAGCUUCGCAGGUCCUCAGCUGUGGUCCCCAGAUGAUAUUUUCUGUGGCGAAUAUCUGGUUGCUUACAAGCUUGAACAUAUGGCCUUUCCAUGGCUCUAUUCUUUUAUCUGUAAGGCUCCGUACACCUCACACCUUGAAGUCACGGGGUCAUUCCAUUAAAAUGUCAACCUACAGACUCAUUGUUCCUAAACAUGUUCUAGAUCAUUUUCAAGAGAAUUUCUCAAAGUUUCACAACCUUGCCACUGUGUGGGAUGGGUUUUAACAGGAAGGAGAGUAUACGUUAAUUGAAAUUGAUCCCUCCAGAUAUCCACAAAUGUGAGAUGAACAGAGUUUUAAAUUCCCCUCCUUGGCUGCAAAACGAAAAGCUUAGAAGUUAGGCUGCCAAGCCUUGUUUGGAGGAAGUCCAGCUAUGAAGGGAGUUGCCUUAUUCUUCAUAGCUCAGUUCAGAAAAAAACCAGGCAGCAGCCUGAGUAGUUUAAAAAUAAGCCUUAUUUAUUAUCAUGCAUUGGUUCACAGCAGCAGUAGCAGUAAAAACUAUGCAGGCAAAACAGUGUUUUGGAUUUGAAGGGGACACCUCUAAACCCUAGAAAUUAAUAAAUGGUAGGAUUUGGAUGAUUUGAAAUGAUAGAAAGGCCUCUAGCGGGCUUCAGCUUGCACGGGGCAGGAGCCUAGUGAGAUUUCUUUUGUAUUAUUUCUUUGCACCAUCACUGUGUGUGACCUUAAAGAAGAGGUUCCUGCCCCGAGGGGCUUACAAUCUUUAUUUUGACACAGGGAGGCAAACGUGAUAGGCUGAGUUCCAGGGUGAAUCCUGAGUCCUGCUGUGAGACAUAAGCCAGCGUCUCUGCGUUUAGGCUUUCAGACAUUUCCCAUCUGUAACCUCUUUCUCUGUUUUUAUUUUCCUUUCUGUCUGCCAGGUCCAAAGCCAGGUCGCACACAGAGGCUGCUGUGGCUCGGGGAAGAAGGAGAAACCGCCAUGGAAGUUGUGGUCAAUUAAUUCCAUGGGGAAUCCAUUCCCCACGUGUGGCAGGAGGUCAUGGCGAAACAGGACUGGGGUGGGGGAGGGAACAGGCCCGUCUCAACCCAGCCCCUCACCCCACUACUUCCGAGCCAGGGGUUGGGCCGUCAUGUGCCCAGGCAGGAGCAGCGAGCGUCAGCAGUCAGUGGUGACUAUCAGCAUCGCCCUUGAGCCAGUGCCACCAACUGGGCUCAUCCACUUCAGCCCCGACUGGGCUAAGUGAGCUGGGUAGCACUUCCAGAGACCACCUUCUGCACAGGAACAGGUCAAAGUGCUGUGGACUCACAGCUUAGAGUUGUGAGCACCGGAUUCACUUCCACAAGAAGACAGUCGUCGCACAGCAGAGUACAGCAGACUCUAGCAGAGUAUAUAAACAACUCGGAGAGCAGCUCUGUAGAAUAUCUUCUUUUAUUCUAUCUACAACUAUACAAACUAUAUACAGAGCUUAAUAGGUCUAUGCAUAAAUAAAUGCAGCACUGCACUGAGUGUCUGCAGCUGCUCUUAGCAGCAACCUUAUCUCUACACACGAUCUCUAACACUCAGUCUCUCUCUCUCUCCGACACUGACUGACUGACUGACUGACUUGGUGCUGGAGCAAAAUAAGUAGAGAGCAGAACACGCCUCCUCCUCUCUGGAGAAUCAGCAGACUCCUCAGGAGAUUCUUGGAUAUGGGAGGGGUGAAAUCUCAUCAGUGAUGUGGGCAUGGGCAGCAUACAAGGGCGCUUGUUCUGCCUACCUCCUUCCCUGC